CCCUGGUUGAUCCUGCCAGUAGUUAUAUGCUUGUCUCAAAGAUUAAGCCAUGCAUGUCUCAGUGCAAGCCGUAUUAAGGCGAUACCGCGAAUGGCUCAAUAUAUCAGUUUUGGUUCCUUAGAUCUUACUCAGUUACUUGGAUAACUGUGGUAAUUCUAGAGCUAAUACAUGCAAUCAGAACUCUGACCAGUGAUGGGAUGAGUGCUUUUAUUAGAUCAAAACCAAUCGACGGAGGGCCUCGCGUCCGAAGUCGUUAAUUUUGAUGAAUCUGGAUAACUUUUGCAGAUCGCAUGGUCAAGUACCGGCGACGCAUCUUUCAAAUGUCUGCCUUAUCAACUUUCGAUGGUAGUUUCUGCGACUACCAUGGUUGUCACGGGUAACGGGGAAUCAGGGUUCGAUUCCGGAGAGGGAGCCUGAGAAACGGCUACCACAUCCAAGGAAGGCAGCAGGCGCGCAAAUUACCCACUCCCGGCACGGGGAGGUAGUGACGAAAAAUAACGAUACGGGACUCUUACGAGGCCUCGUAAUCGGAAUGAGUACACUUUAAAUAUUUUAACGAGGAACAAUUGGAGGGCAAGUCUGGUGCCAGCAGCCGCGGUAAUUCCAGCUCCAAUAGCGUAUACUAAAAUUGUUGCGGUUAAAAAGCUCGUAGUUGCAUUUGUGCGCCGCGCUGUCGGUGCACCGCAUCCGCGGUGAUACUGACACGUUUGCGGAGCAUAUCGUCGGUGAGCCGGCGUUCUAAAAAACGCCGGUUCAAUAUCAAAAUCCUAUCGCGGUGCUCUUCGGUGAGUGUCGAGGUGGGCCGACAAUUUUACUUUGAACAAAUUAGAGUGCUCAAAGCGGGCUAAAAAUGCUGCUUGAAUAUUUCGUGCAUGGAAUAAUAGAAUAUGAUCUCGGUUCUAUUUUGUUGGUUUNCANAACUCCGAGGUAAUGAUUAAUAGGGAUAACUGGGGGGCAUUCGUAUUGCGACGUUAGAGGUGAAAUUCUUGGAUCGUCNCAG
rnacentral:rRNA from 1 species